rnacentral:rRNA from 1 species
CCUACGGGGGGCAGCAGUGGGGAAUAUUGCACAAUGGGGGAAACCCUGAUGCAGCAACGCCGCGAGAGUGAAGAAGUAUUUCGGUAUGUAAAGCUCUAUCAGCAGGGAAGAAGAAAGACGGUACCUGACUAAGAAGCCCCGGCUAACUACGUGCCAGCAGCCGCGGUAAUACGUAGGGGGCAAGCGUUAUCCGGAUUUACUGGGUGUAAAGGGAGCGUAGACGGCUGUGCAAGUCUGAAGUGAAAGCCCAUGGCUCAACCGCGGAACUGCUUUGGAAACGGUAUAGCUUGGGUACUGGAGAGGCAGGCGGAAUUCCUAGUGUAGCGGUGAAGUGCGUAGAUAUUAGGAGGAACACCAGUGGCGAAGGCGGCCUGCUGGACAGAAACUGACGUUGAGGCUCGAAAGCGUGGGGAGCAAACAGGAUUAGAUACCCCAGUAGUC